GAUGAACGCUGGCGGCAUGCCUAAUACAUGCAAGUCGAACGAGAGGAAGGAAAGCUUGCUUUUCUGAAUCUAGUGGCGAACGGGUGAGUAACACGUAGGUAACCUGCCCAUGUGCCCGGGAUAACUUCUGGAAACGGAUGCUAAAACCGGAUAGGUAGCAGACAAGCAUUUGACUGCUAUUAAAGUGGCUAAGGCCAUGAACAUGGAUGGACCUGCGGUGCAUUAGCUAGUUGGUGAGGUAACGGCCCACCAAGGCGACGAUGCAUAGCCGGCCUGAGAGGGCGGACGGCCACAUUGGGACUGAGACACGGCCCAAACUCCUACGGGAGGCAGCAGUAGGGAAUUUUCGUCAAUGGGGGGAACCCUGAACGAGCAAUGCCGCGUGAGUGAGGAAGGUCUUCGGAUCGUAAAGCUCUGUUGUAAGAGAAAAACGACAUUCAUAGGGAAUGAUGAGUGAGUGUUGGUAUCUUACCAGAAAGUCACGGCUAACUACGAGCCAGCAGCCGCCGCAGUAA
rnacentral:rRNA from 1 species